rnacentral:rRNA from 1 species
UACGGAGGAUGCAAGCGUUAUCCGGAAUGAUUGGGCGUAAAGGGUCCGCAGGUGGCAAUGUGUGUCUGCUGUCAAAGAAUGAGGCUUAACCUCAUCAAGGCAGUGGAAACUACAUAGCUAGAGUACGGUCGGGGUAGAAGGAAUUCCUGGUGUAGCGGUGAAAUGCGUAGAGAUCAGGAAGAACACCGGUGGCGAAAGCGUUCUGCUAGACCUGUACUGACACUGAAGGACGAAAGCUAGGGGAGCGAAUGGG